rnacentral:rRNA from 1 species
UCAGGGCGAACGCUGGCGGCGUGCCUAAUACAUGCAAGUCGAACGGUCUUUCUAUGGAAGCUUGCUUCCACUGAGAAGAUAGUGGCGAACGGGUGAGUAACACGUGGGUAACCUGCCCAUAAGAGGGGGAUAACAUCCGGAAACGGGUGCUAAUACCGCAUAGUUUUCUUGAUUGCAUGAUUGAGAAAGGAAAGACGGCCUUUGUGCUGUCGCUUAUGGAUGGACCCGCGGCGUAUUAGUUAGUUGGUGAGGUAACGGCUCACCAAGACGAUGAUACGUAGCCGACCUGAGAGGGUGAUCGGCCACAUUGGGACUGAGACACGGCCCAAACUCCUACGGGAGGCAGCAGUAGGGAAUCUUCCGCAAUGGACGAAAGUCUGACGGAGCAACGCCGCGUGAGUGAAAGAAGGUUUUCGGAUCGUAAAACUCUGUUGUCAGAGAAGAACAAGUUGGAGAGUAACUGCUCCAGCCUUGACGGUAUCUGACCAGAAAGCCACGGCUAACUACGUGCCAGCCGCCGC